GAUGAACGCUAGCGGAAGGCUUAAUACAUGCAAGUCGAGCGGUAGGUGGCUUCGGCCAUUGAGAGCGGCGCACGGGUGAGUAACGCGUACAUGACCUGCCUGUCAGAAGGGGAUAGCCCUGGGAAACUGGGAUUAAUACCCUAUGGUAUUGAUAUUAUGAAUGAUAUCAAUUAAAGUUGAGGCGCUGACAGAUGGAUGUGCGUCUGAUUAGCUAGUUGGUGGGGUAGUGGCCUACCAAGGCGACGAUCAGUAGCCGGCCUGAGAGGGUAAACGGCCACACUGGGACUGAGACACGGCCCAGACUCCUACGGGAGGCAGCAGUGGGGAAUCUUCCGCAAUGGACGCAAGUCUGACGGAGCAACGCCGCGUGUAUGAAGAAGGCCUUCGGGUUGUAAAGUACUGUUGUUGGGGAAGAACGGCUCAAGUGUAAAUAAUAGCUUGAGAUUGACGGUACCCAACGAGGAAGCCCCGGCUAACGUACGUGCCAGCAGCCGG
rnacentral:rRNA from 1 species